rnacentral:misc_RNA from 1 species
GGAUUUUCAAUGUUGUUAACAAAAACCCAAACCCUGCCUCCGCACAAAGUAAAAGUAUCAGUAUAACUCCGCUGGAAAAAUUCACCUACGGCGGCGAUGACGACGACGAAGAUGGUAAUCGAGAAAGUGGGAUUAGGAACGGUGAAUGCAUCAGCGUCACCGGCUUACAAAUCGCCCUUCACCAUCGGCGAUGAAGUCGAGGUUAGCAGAGAGGAAGUGGGUUAUAGUGGAGCUCUCUAUGAAGCUGUCAUUGUUGAACCAUUGAAGCCAACGGCUCCGUUUCCGUACCCUAAAAGCGAAAAUAAGAAAAGGGGGUUUUGGGUUCAGUACAAGCAUUUAUUAUCUGACCAAGGUGAAUCGGUAUCUAAACGCGAGUUCGUCAGAAAACAGUCCCUUAUACGACCUGCACCACCGGCUGCGAAGUGGGAUCAGCGGCGGAAUUUUCGAGUGGGCGAUGUUGUUGAUGCAUUUCAUCUUGCAGGGUGGUGGACUGGGGUUGUUGUUUC